CUCAAAUUUGAAAUCUGGCCUCGGCCCGAGUUGUAAUUUGCAGAGGAUGCUUUUGGUGCGGUGCCUUCCGAGUUCCCUGGAACGGGACGCCACAGAGGGUGAGAGCCCCGUAUGGUCGGACACCAAUCCUGUGUAAAGCUCCUUCGACGAGUCGAGUAGUUUGGGAAUGCUGCUCUAAAUGGGAGGUAAAUCUCUUCUAAAGCUAAAUACCGGCCAGAGACCGAUAGCGCACAAGUAGAGUGAUCGAAAGAUGAAAAGCACCUUGAAAAGGGGGUUAAACAGUACGUGAAAUUGUUGAAAGGGAAGCACUUGUGACCAGACUUGGGCCGGGCGGCUCAUCAGGGGUUCUCCCCUGUGCAUUCCGCCCGGUACAGGCCAGCAUCGGUUCUUACCGGGGGAUAAGAACGGCAGGAACGUGGCUCCCUCUCGGGGGAGUGUUAUAGCCUGCCGUACGAUACCCUGGCGGGGACCGAGGUUCGCGCUUCCGCAAGGAUGCUGGCGUAAUGGUUACUAGUGACCCGUCUUGAAACACGGACCAAGGAGUCGUCCAUUAGAGCGAGCGUUUGGGUGUAAAACCCGCACGCGUAAUGAAAGUGAAAUUAGGUGAGAGCUUCGGCGCAUCAUCGACCGAUCCUGAUGUUCUCGGAUGGAUUUGAGUAAGAGUUUUAACGGACGGACCCGAAAGACAGUGAACUAUGCUUGUAUAGGGUGAAGCCAGAGGAAACU
rnacentral:rRNA from 1 species